GCCACAUCAUGUUGAAACACUGAGUCUCAUACAAUCACUGAAGUUAAGCAAUGCUGAGCCUGGUUAGUAUGUACAUGGGAGACUGCUUAGGAAUGCCAGGUGCUGUAA